rnacentral:rRNA from 1 species
UACGUAGGGGGCAAGCGUUGUCCGGAUUUAUUGGGCGUAAAGAGCGUGUAGGCGGUUAGGUAGGUCCGUUGUGAAAACUCGAGGCUCAACCUCGAGACGCCGAUGGAAACCAUCUAACUAGAGUCCGGAAGAGGAGAAUGGAAUUCCUGGUGUAGCGGUGAAAUGCGCAGAUAUCAGGAAGAACACCUAUGGCGAAGGCAGCUCUCUGGGACGGUACUGACGCUGAGACGCGAAAGCGUGGGGAGCGAACAGG